UCUGCCCGGAGAGGGGAGCAUUUCAGACUCGGUGUCGGGAGGGGGCGGGGAGGGGGAGACGAUGGGCGCCCCCAUCCGUGGUCAAGAGUGACGAGUCAGCAGUGAGCGAUCCCUGGGAAGACGGAGCUCACCAUCGGGGGCCCCCCCGGGUUGGGGGGCAACGACCCACGCUGGCGGAUCGCAUCCGAAAAGCGGCCGAGGCCUGCCGCGCCCCAGGGUCGUGGGGGGAAAGGGGGAGGGUUUCCAAUCCCUGCUGAAGCAGAGGAGGAGCCUGCUCCGGGAUCCCGGGGCCGCCCCUCCGCUCCCCCGGCCCGACCCCUCGGCUCUCUCGCUCGUUCCGGGGGGCUGAGAGACUAUCUCUGCCUCACCCGAGGUGAAAUACCAGGAAGGAGGCCCGAGAGAGUCCCCGCAUUAAAAUGCACCCCCCGGAUCUCUUCAUUUCCACAGAGUCGACUGGUGGACUGCUGGCCCCCCGAAAGAGGGAGGGUAAGGUAACGGUCCCAGGAGCUGGUCCGGCUCAGUUGUCCGGCAGGUGGGGCCCCGGGCCACGGACCCUCUCGCUACUUUCAGCCCCGCGGGCAGGGAAGAACCCCAUACGCCAUCUCCAUCAGACGGCAGAGGCUCCCUACCCUCCAGCCUCCCACUGAGGGUACCGGCACGGAAGGCAGCAGGGAAAAGCUCGGUCAGGCCAGAUGCUUUUCUCCGAUUUCCGUCGAGGCGGCGACCCUCGCCCCGGUGGCUCAACGGUUACCAACCCGGAUUUCCCCAAGCAUGGGUGGAGAGGCCUUUGAGUCUCAUUGGCUAUGAAACUGCAAAACAAGAUACCCAUAAGGAGAGGAAACGAGUUCGGGAGGCCGGGCCAAGGCCGUCAGCCGGAGCACUUUCUCAUUCAACGGAAAAAAAGGGGGCACAAAUCCCCCAUCCUCACAUUGGCCAAUGGGAGAAAGCAGAAGUAGCAAGUGACCAAAUUCUAGCGAUGGCACAGAGGGAAAUUCUCAUCGAGGAAGUGAUAAUUAUCACUACUAUAUUAUAGCUAUCAUUAUUAUUUUUAGGCCCUUCCUGUGGGCCGAAGCACUGGGGAAGACGCGGGCCGGGACCUGUAAUCUUUCUCCCGCUCGGGAAGGAAGCCGAACGAGUUAGGGAAGCCGUCGCCGAUCGAUCGGCGGGAGCGGCUUUGGGAGAUUCCCCGGCUGUAGCCGGGACCCGGAAGCCGGUGCCCUAACUGGGCGAGGACAGGUUGGGGCGAUGCCACGGCUUCGGCUGGGGUCCGGGCGUAUGGUCUGAUGCCCGGGCCAGCUUGCGGGGUCAAAUUUGUAAAAAGGGCCUUGAAGCAGAGAGGCCAACUAUCUGUUUUGAGCGUCGGGGGAUGAGAGGGUGGACGGAAAGUUGUCUGAGAAUCUCGGGAGGUGACGGGCUUCAGAGAGCUCACAGGCCAGAGGAGCCUCCGCUUUGGGUUUUUCAGCCAAGACGGGAAACUCUCAGAUCUUGUCCGAGACAUGAGAGAGGCCGGAUCGGAGUCGAGCUCGGCCGGCCGCAGAUGGGGGUGGCCGAGGUCUGGAAGACGUACCGUCUGGCGUUCCUGCCGCAGGCUCGGUGGGACUGUUCGAGCUGCUGAGCAUCUCACUCGUCGGCCCUUCCUUCGGGGGCGGGUCCGGGAUGCUGAUGGCGGGAGACACGGGCCGCGGCGUGCACGACACGCUCUUUUCGGAGGAACCGGUCAGAGGGGCGGGGGUCCAGCGGGGUAUAAACGUUAUGCCUUCCUCCUCCAUCUGGCGCAGGUAGUAUUCGAUGAUUUCUUUUCCCUUCAAAACAAAGCCACGUUUCAAGGCCAGGGAAGACACAGCGAAGGCCCCUUGCCAGGUGGGGAGGGUGAUUACGAGGUGAUGCAUAAAAUGAAACCAGAUGCAGAAUGGAGGAUUGAGAGAGGUGAAACAGUCCACACACAUCAGAGAUUUUAUUUUCUCCCUCUCCCUCCCAAAAGUCCAAAGACAUGACUGUACUCUCGCAAGCACUUAGCACAGUGCUCUGGACAUAGAAAGUGCUCAGUAAACACCAUUGACGCAAAGGAUCUGCACAUCAACACAUGCCAAUACUGGGCUGAGCCCAUAGCGGGCCCCAAAGUGAGCACCUCGGCCCUGCCCUCUUGUGCCAAAAAUAUGCCCAAGGAGAGAGUCUCCCAUAGGCCCUCUCCCAGAGAGCCCGUGGUCGACGGGCAAACUAAAUGGGAGCCGGGCCCCGGCGGACACUCGGGACUACCGGAGACUCUUUUCGGUUAGUCCCCGCCUAAGUUGCCGGCUGCCCACUUUGGCCGUCUCUUCAGAGAGCCUCGAUGGCCCCAACUCACUUUUUUAAUGUUGCUGGUGUACUGUUUCAUGGCAAUCUUUUCCACGGUGCUUUCAAAGCCGAAGAAAGAUUUGAUGUCUAAACUUGCAGACUGUUCAAAGCAGGUCCAGUCUUCGUUGUCUGGGUGAACCUGCGAGGGGGAAGGAAAGCGUGGGGCUGAAUUGCCUUUGGUCUGGAGAAAGGCAGGGGAGGGCGGAGGAGGAUGGAGAGGAGGAGGAGGGGGAGGAGGAAGUGGCUGCUUUCCUCAGCACUAUUAAAUGUACCUAAAUAUAUGUGCAUUUAUCAGUUCCUGCAAUUAUCUAUUUCACCCUGAUAAAUUUCUACCCUAUUUCAUCCUGCUCGAUAACCUCGUUUCUCCUCCUGCUGCCACUGUUUAUUCAGCAAUUUUUCACUGGAUGACUGUCUCCCCAAUUAGACUGCAGAUUCCUUGAGGGCAGGGAAUGUGUCUUGCCAGGUCCCAGCCCCGGGUGACUCACCGUGUAACAACAGUGCUCAUUAAUGAUGACUCGGUUGGAGAAGGUUUCGUUGUACGCUUCUAUGUGCAAAGUCCGCUCCCGGCGGUUCAAGGAGUUUUUCUGGACAAAGUAAACGUAAUCGACUCCCGCAA